rnacentral:rRNA from 1 species
UACGUAGGUGGCGAGCGUUGUCCGGAUUUACUGGGCGUAAAGGGAGCGUAGGCGGAUUUUUAAGUGAGAUGUGAAAUACUCGGGCUCAACUUGAGUGCUGCAUUUCAAACUGGAAGUCUAGAGUGCAGGAGAGGAGAAUGGAAUUCCUAGUGUAGCGGUGAAAUGCGUAGAGAUUAGGAAGAACACCAGUGGCGAAGGCGAUUCUCUGGCCUGUAACUGACACUGAGGCUCGAAAGCGUGGGGAGCAAACAGG